CAGUGGAGUCCUGAAUUACUGAUGGGUCUCUGAAUGUUUCAGUAGAAUUUUGGAAUGUAAAUGUAAAAUGUAAAAAUGUAAAAGAGAUGAAAUGUUAAAAUGAGGGGUACAUAAUAACGUAAAAUUGAAGACAGCGAAACCAAAUAGAGAAAGUCCAUCGGGGUUCAAGAACAGAGUAGUUGAGUUUCUGCGAAAAAGUCUUGUAGAGCUUCAGCUGAGCGAUCAAAGACCACCUGCGAGAGAGGCUUCAUCGUCUUCACAUAGGCAUCCAUGUCUCUGUUGAACCAGCUCUUCAAUAGAGGCGUUUUCGGCACAAAAUGGUUGGUCUUGGCUUUGGCCUCUAUAUUUGAUCCCUAUAAAUAAGCGUUUCGGUUCUUUUGAUGGAUUUGAUCAACUGGGUUUUCUAAUUCUUGGUCAUAUGUGAUUGAAUUGCUAUCAAUUUGUGUCGGUCAACUUAUACUGGGAACCCACUGUUCAGUUUUGUAGUUCAAGUUGUGAGGCGUGUGUUAUCGAAGUUAUUGUUUCUGUGAGAUCCUUAUUACAUUGUAGUACAUUUCCUUUUUGUCUUGUAUGCAACUGGAAAUAUCUCCAUCAUUUUUAUCCCGGCAAGGGAUGAAUAGGGAUUAAGAUAUUAUCUCUCCAUAUUCAUUCUGCAUUUUCCUUUUUGUUUUGAUUUUUUGUUUUUGAGAAAGUACAUUUUUAUCAUCUCAUCAAUCAUGGGAAUUACUAUUUCAUAAAUUUAGAUUCUAUUAAUUGAGAAUUCUGUUGUGUGGAUUUAAUAAUGUAGAGUUUUAAAAUGACAAGGAUUUGUAUUUAAAAGGGUGUAUUGUAUAUAGAAUUAGUGGAAGUUUUAAAGAAGUCUAUGGAAUUUGAAAGUCUAGAUGUAUUCAAUACAGACUUUUAAAAAUCCAUUAAAGUCUGGGUGUAUUCAACUAGAUUUUAAAAAAUCAUCGUGAAUUCCACCAAAAUUCAGAGGUAUUCAAUUAAGACUUUUUAAAAUGAAUAGAAGUUUAGAUGUAGGGGUGUAUUGUAUAUGUAAUUAGUGGAAGUUUUAAAGAAAUCUAUGAAAUUUGAAAGCCUACGUGUAUUCAAUACAGACUUUUAAAAAAUCAAUCAAAGUUUGGGUGUAUUCAACUAGAUUUUAAAAAAAUCAUUAUGAAUUCUACCAAAGUUCAGGGGUAUUCAAUUAAGACUUUUUUAAAAUGAAUAGAAGUUCAGAUGU
rnacentral:lncRNA from 1 species